CCGAGCCGUCCCUCCUGAAGUACGGAAGCUGAUACUGGAGAGCAGCCAAAUCUCUCUAAGAACACACAGUGUGGUGGAGUUAAGAGGUUAGCCCACUUAUCAGCCCGUCACAUCAGUUUAGACCUGACUACACAGCCCUGAUGAACGGUUUCAUAGUUUCAAAUUCCUUUACCAGGAAACAGUACCCACAUGGAUAUGGAUUCUGAUUGGCCUGUUGGUUCAGCAUCCAGAGGAGCCAGCAGUGGAGACUCUGUGGGCGUGAUGAAUCCGACAGCAUGCUUACAUCUGCAAGAUAUUCUACUGUUCACUGUGACUAAGCAGCACUAUCCUCAGUAUGAUGUGGAGAACCUUUUCAACACUAACACAGCCUUCGACUGGGGACCUUUCAGACUCUUAGCGCAGGAGCUAACGAUGGCUCAGUCCACCCAAUCCCUGUUCUCUGUUACUUUCAGUGAACCCGGGGUGUACGUCCUCAAACUGAGCAGCAAUCCAUACAAACACAUGGUAUCUAUCAUUCUCAUUCCAUUCUAUUUAAACUCAAUAUGUGUUGUACAGGGGUUGGACAGUGAAACUGAAACACCUGUCAUUUUAGUGUGGGAUUUUAGGUUUCAUGGCUAAUUUGGAGCAGCCUGGUGAUCAAUCUUCAUUAAUUGCACAUUGCACCAGUAAGAGCAGAGUGUGAAGGUUCAAUUAGCAGGGUAAGAGCACAGUUCUGCUCUAAAUAUUACAAUGCACACAACAUUAUGGGAGACAUACCAGAGUUCAAAAGAGGACAAAUUGUUGGUGCACGUCUUGCUGGCGCAUCUGCGACCAAGACAGCAAGUCUUUGUGAUUCAUCAAGAGCCACGGUAUCCAGGGUAAUGUCAGCAUACCACCAAAAAGGACCAACCACAUCCAACAGGAUUAACUGUGGACGCUGUAAGAGGAAGCUGUCUGAAAGGGAUGUUCGGGUGCUAACCCGGAUUGUAUCCAAAAAACAUAAAACCACGGCUGAUCAAAUCACAGCAGAAUUCAAUGUGCACCUCAACUCUCCUGUUUCCACCAGAACUGUCCGUCACCACAAUCAAUUAUUGUGCUCUAAAACCAGGUGUUUCAGUUUCAUUGUCCAUAUACUCCUGUAUGUAUAUUAAAACAGAAUUCUCCUUCUCGUUCAGUAUGUGAAGGUUCUGCCGGCUGGAGGAGAGUGCUACGAUAAUGGACCGUUCUUCCCCACUGAUCCACACCAUGUGACCCGCAUGGGCAUCGCUCGCCAGCGCCAGCUCUUACUGAGACCCGACUGGCUAGUGAUCGGAGGACUUCUAGCAGGAGCUGUAGUCGUGCUCU
rnacentral:lncRNA from 1 species